CGAGUAUGCAUAAACAGCUUGAUUUAAAUACAAGCCAAAUACAAUUAAUUUCUGUUAACCAUUUAUAAUUGUGGCUUAUUAUUACAUCUUGAAAGGACUGGAUAUCUGAGCACUGUCUGACAUUACUUUUGACUUCACUGGAGGUAACCUAGAAGGAGAGAGAUGUCUCAGCAGUUUCUUUAUCAAUCGCCACCUUUGGAUUUAGCCUUCUGUGGUCAUUUUGAAUAGCAAGCAUCUGAGACAGCAAAGGUGGGCGCAACUGCCAAAACCACAACCCACGGUCAAAAGGAUCGUCAUCCAUUUGGGGGUGCUCUACGUGUAUGAAGUUAUUUAAUACUUAUAACAACUUUAUGAGAAUACUCCCCUCUUCAUGUCGGCAGAGCAACAAAGGCAAACUUUGGCAACCACUUGAUUGUCUAACUGAAAUGAGCUGAGCUUUGCAAAACUGGAAGAGAAAUAUGCCUUUUGGUCACUAUAUGUCAGAGUGCUGAAAGAAUGAAAUGGACGCAUGUCAGCCCAAAAACAUAAAGCAGAAAGAAACCAUUUCAUGUCCAGAAGCAUAUCCUAGAAGACAACUGCUAAAGAGAAGGGAUUAGUAAAAGAAAAAAAAAAAGAAGGAAAAAAAUCUUCAAAGCAAAUGAAAAGAAACAGACAGUUCUUCAAAACAAGAGAGGAAAUUGGAAAAAGAACAUUUGGGGAAGAAAAAAGCAUGUGGAAUUUCUCUAAACAGAAGAUGGAAUGAUCCAUUUUACCUGCAGAGAGUGCAAGGAUCAAGGAAAGGUUUGCGGCACUCUUGAAUUGAGCAAGAUCAUCAACACCAUUUUACUAACAGCAUGUGCUUACUUGGUGUCUCUGUGUCAUAUUUUAGUAAUUCUUGCAAUAUUUCAAACUUUUUCUAUAUUAUUGUAUCUGCUAUAGUUAUUUGUGAUAAGUGGCCUUCGAUGUUACUAUUGUAAUUGUUUUGUGGCAUCUCAAACUGUAUCCCUAAAAGAUGGCAAAUUUAAUCAAUAAAUGUGUGUCUUCUGACUGCUCUACCAACCAGCCAUUAUUCAAUCUCUUUCCCUGCCUUCAGGCCUCCCUAUUCUCUGUAUUGAAAUUAGGCCUCUAAGUGUUCAAGUGCAAGGAAGAGUCACACAGCUCUCACUUUAAAUCAACCUUGUCCAACCCACAGCCUGUGGGCUGCAUGCAGCCC
rnacentral:lncRNA from 1 species